UAAAAAAACGGAGGAGCAUAUUGUAAAACCAGAUUCUAUUGUUUUCAUUAACCAUCAACAAUGGCGUAUCUUCUUCCGCCGCCAUUGAUAGCCGAAAUUCUCUCAAGACUACCAGUCAAGUCACUUGUACGCUUUCGCUGCGUUUCAAAACCAUGGAAAUCCAUAAUCGACGGUCCAAAUUUCAACAAACUCCAUCUCAAAAACUCCCUCGAAAACACCACCAAUUUCACAAUAAUCCUCAGAGACUCCAAACUAUAUUUCGUAGACUUUCCCACACUUAAACGAGUCACCGAAAUAACCCACCCACUAAAAUGUGAUCAUUACGGAACUGAAGUUGUGGGUUCUUGUAACGGCCUAAUUUGUUUGUCAAAUGGUGAAGAAUCUGGGUUAGACGGUACCAUUAUCUACAAUCCGGCAACAAAGAAACACCGGGUUUUACCCGUUUCACCCAUAGAAUACCCAGAAGAUGAAUUCUUACCAUAUGCUGAGCGUUUGGUAUACGGGUUUGGGUAUGAUCAUUUUCAUGAUGAUUAUAAACUAGUGAGGAUUAUUCAGUUUUAUGGGUCAGACCCGGAUAAUUAUGAUGAUAGUGAAGUGAAGGUUUAUAGUUUGAAAGCUAAUUCUUGGAAAAGGGUUAAAAACUUUCCUAGGGAGUAUUUCAUUACUUACAAAAGGGCAUGGGGGGUUCAUGUCAAUGGGUGUUUGCAUUGGAUGGUUACUAAGAAUCCGGAAUCGAAUGGUUCGAGAUUUAUCGUUGCGUUCGAUUUAGGUUCCGAGAGGUGUAAGGUUGUGCCCAAGCCAAGGGAAUUGUGUGGGGAGUGUCCUACCAAUGUGGAAGUUUUGCAAGGGAGGUUGGGUUUGUUGUGCAAUUAUUAUUCGAUUCGGACCGAUUUUUGGACCAUGGAGCAGUAUGGUGUGGAGAGUUCUUGGACUAAAUUGUAUUCUAUUGCACAAAGGACCAUUUUAGGUGUUUUUGAGUAUGUUAGACCUAUAGCUUGUUCUAAGGAUGGUUCAUGUGUGUUGCUUCAUAAAGACAUGAAUAGUAUGUUUUGGUUCGAUUUGCGGACUCAACGUGCCAAGAGAGUGAAUAUUCGUGGUAUGCCAAAGUCGUUCGAGGCAAUGAUGCUUGUUGAGAGUCUUGUUCCUCUUGAUGGUAGUAAGAAAAAGAAGAACAAGCCUAAAAAGAAGAGAAUUGAGCAUUCAGAGCAAGCUGAUAGUAGGAUAGCAACGCUUCCAUUGCUUUUACUUCAAGAUAUAUUCUCUCGUCUUCCUGCUGAUACUCUUUUGAAACUUACCUAUGUUUGCAAACCAUGGAAUCAUAUUGUCCAUGACCCUGAGUUUGCUAAAAUGCAUCUCAAAUUUUCUGGAAGAAGCAACGAUAACCUGUAUUUCAUUCUUAGAGAGCAUGGGCUACAUGUAAUUAAAUUCAACCUGCUAAACAAAGCAGUAGAGAUCAAGCAUCCUCUUGUGUGCCCUGAAGGAUGGACUGAUAUUUUAGGAUCAUGCAAUGGUCUUCUCUGCUUAUAUAACCAAGAUAAAGACCUUGCUAUCUGGAACCCGCUGACAGGAAGGUGUCACAAAUUACCUAUUACAAACUUCCAGUCUCCAAAGGAUUUUGAUGGCUUCCACCAUUUUAUCCAUGGAUUUGGCUUUGAUCCUAAAAGUGAUGAUUACAAAGUUGUCCGGGUUUUACAGUUUUACUGGUACUACCUUCCAAGUCAUGGCUGUUUAUAUAAUGAGUUUUCUGAUUCUGAAGAUGAUACCUUCGCUGGCUCUGAAGUUCAGGUUUACAGUUUGAAAACCAAAAGUUGGAGAAGGAUCGAAUGUUUCCCUUUCAUCUUAUGCUAUCCUUGCUCUGGGGUCCUUGCAAAUGGAGCAUUACAUUGGGUUGCACGGAAAAGACAUAAUGUGGAUUCUACUUCUUAUAUCAUUCUGGCUUUUGAUCUUAGGUCAGAGAAAUGCAGAGUAGUGCCACAACCUAAUUACGAUGACAUAAAUUUCCACAUGAGUUUAUUUCUUUUAGGUGGUUCUCUUUGCAUACUUUGCCAUUAUCCUAGACAUGGUGUCGAUAUAUGGGUGAUGAAGAAUUACGAGCUGCAAUCUUGGUGUAGACUGAUUUCCAUUACUCAGCCGAAACCCAUUGAGUUUUUCGAAUAUAUUAAGCCAUUGGCUUUGUCGAAGAAUGGUAGUGAAGUCCUUUUGGAACUAGACUAUUCAAAGCUUGUCUGGUAUAACUUGAAAAAGAAGACACUCAGGCAUGUCAACAUCAAUGGUCUUCCAAAAUCCUUCGGUACAGAGCUAUUUUCUAUAAGUCUUCUUGAUCCUGGCAAUUUGAUUCCAAGGGAAAAGAAACAAUCACAUCAUAAUGGCCCGGAGGUUACUAGGUUGCAACUUCAAGUGACUAGAAAUUGUACGAGUAGCUCGUUGCUCAUUCUUAGAGGGGAGAAGCUUCUCUCUUUAGAUUUUCAGCGGCUUGAUAAAGUUGUCGAAAUUGAUUACCAAUCCUUCUCUUUUAAAGGAUCGCCUGAUAUAGUCGGGUCUUCAAAUGGGUUUGUCUGCUUGUACAAGGACAGGGAGUUUGUUUUAUGGAACCCAUGGACUAGCAAAUAUGAUAGGCUACCUAAUUGUCAGUUAAAUGCUUCAGGUUCCUCACAUUAUUGCUCCAUUCAUGGAUUUGGCUAUGAUCCUGAUAAGAAUGACUACAAAGUAGUUACUAUUCUGGAGCAUCACAAAAGCCUAAGAGUUGGUAGUGUUCACUCCGAAGUUCAGGUUUAUAGCAUGAAAAUUAAAUCUUGGGGAAAGAUUCAAAAGUUUCCUUAUGUUGUUUGUUAUCCAAGUUCAGGUGUUCUUGCAAGUGGCGGAUUGCAUUGGUUGGCACGUCCAAAUCCCGAAUUGUAUAGUAGCUCGAAUUUGCUUAUAGCUUUUGAUCUUGGAUCUGAGAAAUGCAGGGUGGUGACAGGGUGGUGACACAGCCAAACUAUGUUGAUACAGAUUUUCAAAUGAGUUUGGGUCUAUUAAGUGGUUGUCUUUGCUUGCUUUGUCAUUACCCUAAGCAGAAUGUUGAUUUCUGGGUGAUGACUGAUUAUGGAACAGAGUCAUGGACAAAACUUUUUUCCAUCUCACAGAAGUUAAUCAAGCAGUUUGAAUACUUGAAGCCAUUGGGAUAUUCAGAUGAUGGAACUGAAGUUCUUUUGGAACAAGAUAAUGAAAGGCUUCUUUGGUACAACUUAGUGAGAAAGACGGUCAGAUACCUUAACGUCCAUGGUCUACCCAAGUCUUUUGAGACUGUGAUGUCUUCGGCAAGUGUAGCUGACGCUGGUAAUCUGCCAAAGACUUAUCAUGAGAUCCAUGAACAAGCACCAAACACAUCUCAGAAUAGCAGGGAUAAUUUGAGGGGAGAUUUGGAUGGUUUUCUAGCAAAGGGAUUUAAGCUAAAGCUUUGAUGGAGGACACAAGAAAAUGGGUAAAAACUGAUACCAAGGUUGCUGCUCAAAGAGUCCAGAAAAGCCUUUUUCUUAUGUUGCUGCUCAAAGAGUCCAGAAAAGCUUUUUGAGGAACUGGAAAGAUCUCUCGUGAAACAGGCCAAGUUCUUUGUCUCUUUAAUUUUUUUUAUCUUUGCGAAGGCUUUGAACAAAGAUUUACUUAACUAAAGGUAGGUUUGCCGUUGAUAUUUUGCAUUUAUCUGUUCAUAACUUCUAUUAUACAAUAUUAGUGAAUGUGUUCUUAUGCCA